rnacentral:rRNA from 1 species
AUGAGAAAUGAUGAGAACUUCCGAGGCCUUGGAAAUCUUGUUGAUCUCUUGGUUAAGCUUGUCCAAACAGGGAGACAUAUAGUUCAUCAUUUGGUGAACUUUCUUUUAAAAUUGGUAUUUAUUCUCCCGGUGGCAACGACAAAUGUUGAGAGAGCAUUUUUUGCCAUGAGUUUUGUCAAGAAUAAGUUGAGAAAUAAGAUGGGUGAUAGUCUUUUGGAUGAUUGCCUAGUCACAUACAUUAAGAGGGAUGCUUUCUCCGAGGUGAAUGAAGAUGGCAUAAUUGAUACCUUCAUGGCAAUGCAAAAACGUAGGCCAGAAAGGUAG